AGGAGGACGAGGUGUCUCCAAUGCCAAGCUGCGGCAGCAGAAGCAGCAGCCACAGCGAACGCAAAAAGCCCGAGCUGUUGGGAGGCGGAGGGUGGGGGGAUCCUGAGGGAGGGACUGCGGCAGGAUGCCCAGCUGUCGGAGCCCCGGCCAGAAACUGAACAACCCACAUGGAUUUGACGAUCAUCCCCUCACGAGAAAUUCUAAGUUUCUUCAUUUGAAAUACUGCUCUCUUCAAGAAACCACAUUGUAAUAAUUUGUAGAAUGUAUUACCAUUAGAAAAUUAAUUAUGUAUUGUGCACACGUUUCUGAAAUACUUCACUGCAGUAAACAGUAUAUGGUGAGAAUUAUUGUUUCCUUUAACAAAAAACUAAUGUGAGUAAAAUUAUUUACAUAAAUUCAGAUGUUCUGGCUUCAACUGCCAUUCUACCUCAUUAGCAUUUCCCUAACUUCAUAAAUGG
rnacentral:lncRNA from 1 species